ACGGGUGAGUAACGCGUAGGAAUAUGCCUUAAAGUGGGGGACAACUUGGGGAAACUCAAGCUAAUACCGCAUAAUGUCUAAGGACAAAAGCUGGGGACCUUCGGGCCUGGCGCUUUAAGAUUAGCCUGCGUCCGAUUAGCUAGUUGGUAGGGUAAAGGCCUCCCAAGGCGACGAUCGGUAGCUGGUCUGAGAGGAUGACCAGCCACACUGGAACUGAGACACGGUCCAGACUCCUACGGGAGGCAGCAGUGGGGAAUAUUGGACAAUGGGGGCAACCCUGAUCCAGCAAUGCCGCGUGUGUGAAGAAGGCCUGAGGGUUGUAAAGCACUUUCAGUGGGGGGGAGGGAUGAUUGUUUAAGAGAUGAUUGUUUGGACGUUACCCACAGAAGAAGCACCGGCUAACUCCGUGCCAGCAGCCGCGGUAAUACGGAGGGUGCAAGCGUUAAUCGGAAUUACUGGGCGUAAAGAGUGCGUAGGUGGUUAGGUAAGUUAUGUGUGAAAUCCCUGGGCUUAACCUGGGCAGGUCAUAUAAUACUGCUUGACUCGAGUAUGGGAGAGGGUAGUGGAAUUUCCGGUGUAGC
rnacentral:rRNA from 1 species